GAGGAGGAGGCAACCACUACUAAUAGGCCUACAGGAACAAGGAGAGAGCGUGGGUCCAGGAACUCAGAGAGGGAGUUGCUCUAUAGAGAGAUGCAUAACAGAGGGAGGAAGAGGGAGAGAUGCCCUGACCUCAUUUUUCUCUUUCUCACCAAUCUCUAGCCAAGGCCAUCACUGGCGAAGUCCAUCUAAAAGCCAGAGUCAGCAAGCAGCGCCCGUUGAAACGUCCAUAAAAGGUUAUAUAUUCUCUGCCUCUCCUACGGAGCUCAUCCCUACCAAGCCUGCGCCUACAGAAGGAUGGGACUUUCCGAACCACUGGCAUCUGUCUUGGUCCUAUGACGUGCUUUGGUCAAUGAAAUGUAGACCCUGCCUAGCUCAUGGAGCUGAAUGACUGGUAUGACAAAACAGGGUAUGUAUGCCUGUUUACUUUGAUAGUGGCUGGUUUAGGCAUAAAUGUAUAAGAGAAUUUUGGCCAAUGAGGUAUCAGGAGACCCUACAAAAGAUUCUCCUCACUGAUUAAAAGAGAAGCACAUGCAUAACCUCCCUGUUUAAGUGCCUCUGGAGACUGCUGAGUGAGGAAGUGACUUUUGGAAUAGCUACAGCCAUGCUGUGACCAUGAGGGGAGAGCUAACGAAAUGCUAGAGAAGCCAAACUGAAACCAUAAAGGCUUUAAGUUACAGAAUCAUUCAAAUCUGGACCAACUCUCUCUCCAGACCUCUUCUUAUGAGAUAUUCAAUAUUCUUUUAUUUAACCUAGUUUUAGUUGGGUUUUGUUACUUGCAUCUGAUAGCCACCUAACUAGGACACAUCCGUUUUGCAGGGCUGAUGUGCAAAUUAAAGAAAUACAUGAAAUGUAACUAUUGCAGUGACUGGCAUUCAAUAAAUAGAAUUUAUGAGACAUUUCCUCAAUUCUAAGUCUUGCAUGGUCCUCAUCUUAAAAUUUCUGCAAGUUUGAAUUAAUUCAUAACCUCAAUUUCCUGAGCUUGUAGGAUAUGGUAAGUGUUUGGGUGAGGGAGAAAGGACAAGAUGGAGGAAGGUGAACAAGAAGGCACAAUCCAUGUUGCUUCUGGGUUCUUCCUUACCAACUUUCCCGUGCCCGGGAAGAUGCAGAUCAACUGAGCAUGCGCCAGGUGACGUCAAUCCGAAGAGAUCGAAACUUACCCGGCCAUGCCUACAGAGACGCCCCGAUCACGCCCUUAUUGCGCCCACUGCCCUCCGCCUUCCAGUACCAAUGCAUAAAAGUCCGCUGCUGGCAGGAGCCAGCGUGACUUCUUCGGCCCCUCCUACUUGUGGACCGGAGAACCUCACCCGAGAGCGCCGGCGCGACUUCCGUGGCCCCAUACCUGAGGACUGAAGAACCUCGCCCGAGAGUGUGUGCAUACUUGCAAUAAAAGACUGCCACUUUCUUAUGUACUUUGGCCUCAUGUUUAAUUAUUUAGCUCUCCUAAAUUAAGUAUUAAAUUAAGACAAUUAUUAAACUAAAUUAAAUUAAGACAGUUCACAACUGGGCAUUGGGCAAAAAGGUGUCCAAAUCCUCGCCCACCUACCACGCCGUGCCCAACCUGCCAACAGGAGAAACGUUGGAAGUCUGAUUGCCCUGCCAGCAGGGAAGGCAUUGCGCCUCAACGUGGUGCCUCUCCUCAAAGGCCGGAAGGCUCCUUCCAGCUCGUACACCUGGACGACGACUGACGGUGCCCACACUCGGAGACCCUGGUCAUCCUCGCUGAGCCUAGGGUAACUAUACAGAUAGCGGGUGACCAGGUUCUACUCAAGGAUCAACACCCUCCUCAAAUUUUCCCGCUUCCUCACUAUUAACUGACUUUUCCCUCAUAAACCCCAUAGACAUCCUCCUUCCCAACCCAUUCCCCAACCAGUAGGUUUCCCAACUUUUUACUCUCAUAGAAGACCUAGCUUGGCAGGGUGCCCUUUGUGAUUUCCUAAUUCCCAUACUAAUCCUCUGCCUUGCCUUAUGUUUUGCUCCCAUUUUAAUAAAAUUUCUCCGAGCCAAGGUCCAAGAAAUCACCUGAGUCACCUUCAACCAAAUGCUCCUGCAUCCCUACAUCCAACUGCCAACCUCAGACCCUAACUACGCCCCUUAACAGCAGGAAGCAGCCAGACAGACAAUGGCGCCCCAAAUUCUUAUAAUCAAUAAGAGGUUGGACUGUUUGGGUGAGGGAGAAAGGACAAGAUGGAGGAAGGUGAAGAAGAAGGCACAAUCCAUGUUGCUUCUGGGUUCUUCCUCACCAACUUUCCCACACGCGGGAAAAUGCAGCCCGCACCCGGGAAGAUGCAGAUCAACCAAGCAUGCGCCAGGUGACGUCAGUCCGAAGAGAUCGAAACUUACCCAGCCACACCUAUGGAGACGCCCCUAUCACGCCCUUAUCCCGCCCACUGCCCUCCCCCUUCCAGUACCAAUGCAUAAAAGUCCGCUGCCGGCAGGAGCCAGCGUGACUUCUUCGGCCCCUCCUACUUGUGGACCGGAGAACCUCACCCGAGAGCACCAGCGCGACUUCCCUGGCCCCAUACCUGAGGACUGCAGAACCUCACCUGAGAGUGUGUGCAUACUUGCAAUAAAAGACUGCUGCUUUCUUAUGUA